UCAUCUUGAGAAUAUUAGAAUUUACAACAUCUGGAGUAGAUUUUCUGGUGAUAAUGAAGACUAGUACAGACUGCUUUGGCUCAUGCAGUUUCAUAUAGACUCUUUUUGUUCAAGUCAUCAUUUGGCAUUGACAGCUGCUUAUUCUGCUUUCAGAAGGUUUAUUCAAUGUCUUAUUUGUAUCUAAAUUUACUGGUUACAUCUUUGAAAAAAGUAUGGAUACAUUGAGACAACUUUUCCACAGAGUUGGCCAUUAUGUGUUCAUUUUUAUGGAUAGAGCAAAACAGCUUUACCAAAGAAUAUGCAUUUGUCUUGAGCCCUGUUGUCCUAGUCUGGCUGUUGCAUCCAGGUUUCAGCCAAGGAAGAGUGUACCCCGUCAGACUGAACAAUUUUGUCAUUUUUAUUUGCCAGUCAACAGAUCUUCUCAACUACCAUCAUUCAUUCUUAAUGGAGAGAUAUUUGUCUACAUUGAUGGUUGCUGGAAACAUGAAAAUGAGAAUUUUUUAUUGAAGAAACAUGUAAGAAAUUUGCACCAGAAGAACAAAGCUGUUAUUGUGGAAAUCAUCUAUUUAAAGGUUGAGGAAGAGGUGCUUUUUGAUGUGUUAUAUGAUGUUGUAGCAGAUCUCAGACUAAAAGAAGAGAAGUUGGAAACCUUUGCAAUUUCUGAUGGACAUGAGAAAAUGCCUUUUCGUGGUUCAACCACAAUUACAUGUCAGAAAUCACCAGAAGAGCAAAGCUGUUGAUAAGGUCAGCUAUUUAAAUGGAUUUUCCAACAACACUCUUGAAAAAAAAUCAUAGCCAUCUUGAUGUUUCAGCCCCAGCUGAUUAGACUUAGUUUUUCUGAUUGGUUUUCAUUUGAUGUAAAUAUAAUUAUAAGGAAGA